CCUACGGGAGGCAGCAGUGAGGAAUAUUGGUCAAUGGGCGCGAGCCUGAACCAGCCAAGUCGCGUGAGGGAAGACGGCCCUACGGGUUGUAAACCUCUUUUGCCGGGGAGCAACGGGCGCCACGUGUGGCGCCCCUGAGAGUACCCGAAGAAAAAGCAUCGGCUAACUCCGUGCCAGCAGCCGCGGUAAUACGGAGGCUGCGAGCGUUAUCCGGAUUUAUUGGGUUUAAAGGGUGCGUAGGCGGCGGGUUAAGUCAGUGGUAAAAUUUAGGGGCUCAACCCCGUCCCGCCGUUGAAACUGGAGGUCUUGAGUGGAAGAGAAGUAGGCGGAAUGCGUGGUGUAGCGGUGAAAUGCAUAGAUAUCACGCAGAACCCCGAUUGCGAAGGCAGCAUGCCGGCUUCCGACUGACGCUGAAGCACGAAAGCGUGGGGAUCGAACAGGAUUAGAUACCCUUGUAGUC
rnacentral:rRNA from 1 species